GAGUUUGAUCCUGGCUCAGGACGAACGCUGGCGGCGUGCCUAAUACAUGCAAGUAGAACGCUGAAGAGAGGAGCUUGCUCUUCUUGGAUGAGUUGCGAACGGGUGAGUAACGCGUAGGUAACCUGCCUUGUAGCGGGGGAUAACUAUUGGAAACGAUAGCUAAUACCGCAUAACAAUGGAUGACACAUGUCAUUUAUUUGAAAGGGGCAAUUGCUCCACUACAAGAUGGACCUGCGUUGUAUUAGCUAGUAGGUGAGGUAAUGGCUCACCUAGGCGACGAUACAUAGCCGACCUGAGAGGGUGAUCGGCCACACUGGGACUGAGACACGGCCCAGACUCCUACGGGAGGCAGCAGUGGGGGAUAUUGCACAAUGGGGGAAACCCUGAUGCAGCGACGCCGCGUGGAGGAAGAAGGUCUUCGGAUUGUAAACUCCUGUCGUUAGGGACGAUAAUGACGGUACCUAACAAGAAAGCACCGGCUAACUACGUGCCAGCCGCCGCGGUAAUAC
rnacentral:rRNA from 1 species